AUUUAAAUAGCUUAYAUUUAGAGCAUAACACUGAAGAUGUUAGGGAGAUUAUUUUAAUCUUUAGAUA
rnacentral:tRNA from 1 species